CUCAAAGAAUAAGUGAGGGAAGUGUCUAUCUGAUUGAUUCAUUUUCAUUGGUGCUUUGAGCCUAUAUAACUGCUGAGAUGCAAGAAGCAGCCACUUCCUCUCCCACCACUGGUUCAGGUUUUGACUGCAGGACUAAAGAUGAAUAAGGAGCCUGGCAAAGGUGAAGUGGCUGUAUUCCUACUUGCCGAAAUGUUUCAUACUCAUGCUGGAAAAGAUGGGGACAAGGAUCACCUGAGCAAAAAAGAGGCUAAAGAAUUGCUUGAGGAGGAAUUUCCUCUCUUAAUUGGGGACACUUCUGAUCCAGCCACGGUUGACCGUAUGAUAAAGGGCUUGGAUAUGGACGGGGACAAUAAAUUGGACUUCCAGGAGUUUAUGACUUUGGUCUUUUCACUGACCACAAUCUGCAAUAAACUGAUGUGAAAGUCUGCCAUGUUACAUUUAAUCACUAAACCUUUGUUACUGUGGAAAUAGUGUCAACAAUGUUCAUCAUGUUAUAGAUGGAAAGGUUUUAGUUGUUGCUUAAUCACACCACCUUGUAAUGGUCCUAAACGAAGCACCAUUCUCAAUAAAGAUUUAAUCCUG